rnacentral:rRNA from 1 species
CAGUCGCCGCGGUAAUACAGAGGGUGCGAGCGUUAAUCGGAUUUACUGGGCGUAAAGCGUGCGUAGGCGGCUUUUUAAGUCGGAUGUGAAAUCCCUGAGCUUAACUUAGGAAUUGCAUUCGAUACUGGGAAGCUAGAGUAUGGGAGAGGAUGGUAGAAUUCCAGGUGUAGCGGUGAAAUGCGUAGAGAUCUGGAGGAAUACCGAUGGCGAAGGCAGCCAUCUGGCCUAAUACUGACGCUGAGGUACGAAAGCAUGGGGAGCAAACAGGAUUAGAUACCCCUGUAGUCCCUGUCUCUUAACA